CCUACGGGAGGCAGCAGCAGGGAAUAUUGCACAAAUGGGCGAAAGCCUGAUGCAGCGACACCGCGUGUGGGAUGAAAUGCCUUCGGGUUGUAAACCACUUUCAGGAAGGGACGAAAAUGACGGUACCUCCAGAAGAAGGCCCGGCCAACUACGUGCCAGCAGCCGCGGUAAU
rnacentral:rRNA from 1 species